GCUUUAGAACAUGUACUAAAAUUGGGACAUUACAGAGAAAAUUAACACGGUCCCUGUGCAAGGAUGACAUACAAAAAGGUGAACCAUGAUACUUAUUU
ensembl:snRNA U6 U6 spliceosomal RNA